rnacentral:rRNA from 1 species
GACCCGUCUUGAAACACGGACCAAGGAGUUUAAGGUGUGCGCAAGUCAUUGAGUGUGAAAACUCAUAGGCGUAAUGAAAGUGGGACACUUGGUGUCUGUGAUGCGACCUGCUGGAGUCUCGAUUCCUGCGGGGCAGCAUCGACCCAUGACUAGGACUUGUUCUGUUGUGGAGUCUGAGCGUACGCUUUGAGACCCGAAAGAUGGUGAACUAUGCCUGAACAGGACGAAGUCAGAGGAAACUCUGAUGGAAGUCCGAAGCGGUUCUGACGUGCAAAUCGAUCGUCUGAUUUGGGUAUAGGGGCGCAAGACUAAUCGAACCAUC